UAGGGCCCUAGCUCUUCAUUCAUUCAUUCAUUUAUCUAUCUAUCCACCCAUUUCUCCAUUCCUUAUAACUUCCCUUCUCCACUCUUCUUUCCAAUUCCUAUAGGCAACCAUUUCAGAUGUUCAGUGUAUAUUAUUUUGUCUACUGUGUCUUGCUGUGUCUACAUCUAAACCGUGGGACUUCAUGGUGGACACCGUCCGUGUCUGGCACCCACUGCCAGCACCUGCCUCUGCGGACGCCGGCCAUGGUGAACAGUCUUGCAUGUGGCCCCUCAUGGACCUGAGAAGGAUCUGUUGGAUCACAGGAGAUACGGACAUUUAUGGUGAAGAAGUACUGUCCACUGCUCCCCAGACUGCUGCCUAUGCUAGUCUACAGGUGCACGAGGUUUCCCACAGGCCUACGCGUGCACUCACACUUGGCAUGGAAAUGAGAAUAUUUGUACGGCACACCACGGUGAAAGAUAAGGAAAACAGGCCACGGAUUCUGACAACCUUGGGCCCUCCAGCCUCCCUGAGGCGGAAUGUCAGCUCACAUCACAAGGCAUUUCUCCGUGUCACAACACAGAUGAGGAAUGUCGGAGUGGGAUCCCCUCCCCACGGCAACUAUCCUCUGAAAAAAAUGACUCAAGUGGCAGGAUUGUGUGGAACGAGGGAGAGCUGCUGGUUCAGUGUCAUGGGGAAUCUCUUUUGUAAUCACUCUUCCACCAGAACAGAUGUUACUUCAGUGCUAACAUGGGAUUUAUGGUUUCUGGUAAACUGAAGAUCACCGGCUCAUGUUCUGGCUAAUUCUAUCCUUGCUGGAGUACAAGAACUCAGAAUAGCCACAACUGACAUGCUUGGAAUUUGAAGGAGGAGCAAGAGCCACAUGGAUUUGAACUUCAGGUGGAACACAAGUCUGACAAACUGCACGCACAGAGGAAAGAACUUCAGAUACAUCUUAAUACAUCUUUAUCCAAUCAAAGCAAAACAGUCAAUACAAAGAGAUUUCAAAUGUAAAGAGUCUUCAGUCAAGUUGUAGAGAUUAAGCAAAAUGUAUAAAAAGACCCCUCAAAAACUCAGGGCUUUGCUCUUGGAAUCAGAUGAGUUGCCCUGAAAGCAAGCUCCGAGGGGGGAUCCAGAGUGGGCUGGAAAUUUGGGGGAAAGAUUCAUGUGAGAUGUAGAGCCCAUUCCGGCUGCAAAGACUGGGUGAGAGACAAAGCCACUCCCACCUCCACAGGGGUUCCUAAAUAGUCACCACCCUACUCCUUUCAGUUGGAUGAUGAGUCAAACCAAAAUUGUCAUCAAAGCAGCUAAGCCU